UACAGAGGGUGCGAGCGUUGUCCGGAAUCACUGGGCGUAAAGGGCGCGUAGGCGGCUCGGUCAGCGUGCGGUGAAAGCCCGGGGCUCAACCCCGGGUCGGCCGUGCGAACUGCUGGGCUGGAGCACUGUAGAGGCAGGUGGAAUUCCGGGUGUAGCGGUGGAAUGCGUAGAGAUCCGGGAAGAACACCGGUGGCGAAGGCAAUGUUCUGGCUCGUUUCUGACGCUCAGGUGCGAAAGCCAGGGGAGCGAACGGG
rnacentral:rRNA from 1 species